AUUCACAGGAAUUAAGAAUAGAAUGUCUGAACUAUGUGAAAAGAGAAUGAUCAUUCCUAAACCAUUCUAUUUUUAUAAAACUAGAACCCCAGGAAUUUGGUUAUUUAACGUUAAAGAUGAACUUUCUCAGUUGUAUGUCCAAAGUCAAACGUACAUCAGUUUGAUUACUAUACUAGAGUAAUUAAGUUAAACAAUAGUGGUUAGCCAAAAUUAGCUAGAAACUGUUCAGCUCAUGGUCAAGGUAUAACCUUGCCUUCUAACAUUAGAAGUGAAACUAAGUAUAUAGGGACUAGACUAAAUAUAAGGAUUCCAGAAUUACAAACAAAAAAGGAAUUACAGUUAAUUCAGAGUAUAGAUACAGAUAUUAAAGGAUUAAAAUAUUUACUAGAGGACACUAAACAUUUACCUCUUAGAAAGUCAGGGUUAAGUCUUAAGGAUUUCCAGCAGCAUGUAGACCGAUUACGAGCUACAGCUGGAAAACAGAAGUUAGAUAACUGGAGAUUAUCUAACUCGAUGAUGAUAACCUUAUGCUUGGUAGUAAUACUAGUAAGCAUAAUAUUGUAUACCAAAAGAGAUAAAUUGGCUUUAGUAAAGUUAAUGGCAUUAGAUGGGCUAUGUAAAGCUAGAAAGAAGAAAAGAACAAGAACAGAAGCUACUGAAAUAGUAGAACUGAAUGAGUAGGCCCCAUCUAAUCAGGAUAUAGCUUGAUUAUUUAGUUGAUUACAAAAUUAUCUAGAUAUAACCAAUUGGCGAGGUUAGUUUGAUUCUAAAAGAUGAUAAUAGUCAAAUUAUAGUCAAAAUUAUUAGGCAUAGAAAGUGCGAGAAAGACAAAAAUAGACAAUAACUGGAAAUAAGAAGAAUUUGAGAAAGGACAGAAAUAACAGACAGUGACCAGAAGUAAGAGACAAACGAAACUUAUGACCAGUAGACGAAAAUAGACAGUACAACGAAUCCAGAAAUUAACUGAACGCAAGGACAGGAACUUCUAUCAACAGAUGUCAAGUAUUAAGAGUGUGUUAGUGAAUUGAAGUGUUGUGAAUAGAGUGAUUGAAGUGAUUUGAAUAACAAGUGCGAACAGAAAGCCAGAUGUAUUAGAAGGGCGGGUGUGUGACUAUGAUGAACAAAAGAGCGAGUGAAGUGACUGUAUAAGCCUUCACUGGGACAAACAAUAAUACCGUUCUUAUAAUAAUCAUAGGAAACAAAGACAAAGAGCUGCCAUCGUAGAAAUGGAAGGUUUUCGGAUCAACGGGCUGUACCUGAUCAAAGAAUUAGCUGUAAGAGACUGCCGAUCAGGUUGGACUGACGUUUAAUGCUUCAGGCCCCCAUACCCGGAAGAUCGUCCGAGCGACGCAGACAAGAGGCACGUCCUAUGGUGUACUGUAUAUCUCCAUGGUCUCCGUUGGAAUGAUGGCGAUCACACUAUGCUGGACUUCCUACGGAUUCGCCAGGGGAUAAGACAGGACUAUGUUAAGAUCUACACCAAAGAUACUAUCUAAUUAUGAGCAUGGCUGUUCGUUACAAAUGUGGACUCUGUACUCCCGUUGUUCUGUGCUCAGAAAGUAAGAAUUAUGGAACAGUUUUCUAUGUGGCUGAUUAUUGAAGUGGUUUAGAGAUGGACAAUAAUAGAAAAUUGGAAACUUGAUAAAGCGAUGGUGAGAGAAGGUACAUCACAUGUAAUGACUUCAUAUUCCAGGUACAUCACCUUUAAUGACUUCAUAUCCCAGCUACAUCACCUGUAAUGACUUCAUAUUCCAGCUAUAUCACCUGUAAUGACUUCAUAUCCCAGCUACAUCACCUGUAAUGACUUCAUAUCCCAGCUACAUCACCUAUAAUGACUUCAUAUCCCAGCUACAUCACUUGUAAUGAAGACAUUUUUAGGCAACUAUUUUUUGUUUGCAAAACCCCCAAGUAUCUUGUUAAAAUCUAAGUGAUACACACAACUGUCCAAUUUAGUACUUUUAGCAAACAUCUAUUAAAUUAUGUGAGAUUUAUAAAUGUUCCCUCAAAUCACUAUUAGGUUUUUUAUCUGUCAUUAAUUUUCUACACAAAAAUUUAGACCUAAAAAUUUUAGAGAUUCUGGCUGAAAGAAGUAGAAUUAUGAUUUGACUUGCAUUGCUGGUCAAAUGUUAUCAAAACUGUAUGCUAACAUAUGAAUUAUUUGCAUAAGUGGAACAAUGCAGCCUUCCUAUUUUUAACAUGUUUAAUAUAAAAUUUUAAGGACUAAACAAAAGUUAAAAUUCUUAACCAUCAAAUAGUGUAGUGGUUCUUUCCAUUUCUGCAUGUACUACUUUUGUGAUGUGUAAACCUAGUAUGUGUUUGGCCAGUAAAGUAGUAAUUUUUAAUGUAUGUUUGGCCAGUAAAGUAGUAAUUUUUAAUGUAUGUUUGGCCAGUAAAGUAGUAAUUUUUAAUGUAUGUUUGGCCAGUAAAGUAGUAAUUUUUAAUGUGUGUUUGGCUAGUAAAGUAGUAAUUUGUAAUGUAUGUUUGGUCAGUAAAGUAGUAAUUUUUAA